UCAAAGCCCCGGACUUGGUGCACCAUAUUUCGUGGGAGUGAAGUAUGGCCUCUGGCAUCCCACAUUUCAGUACCCCCGAUUUUUAACCUUCUUCAUUGCCUGGUAUUUUUAUUUACAAACCUUAAUGUAUCAAAGAGUUGUAAAAUGUUCUUUGAAACAGGGUUGAAAAAAACAAACUGUAAUCUACUAAGGUAUCCGAAUCAUGCCUAUUGACCACAAGACUGCCUUGUUCUCAGUGAGCAUUCAAUGAUAAUCCUACAUUUUGCAGACGUUGUUCAAACGCUUUAUUAGUUUAACCGUUAACUUCCUUCACAGCGAUCUGCAAAACAGAUUCUGGCUCUAUUAUUCUUUUACGUGCGCCUUAUAAAUAUUUCAACAUAGUCUCUACCAUGUAGCAUCUGAAUGCUAACUAUAGACUCUCCGCCGUGAUGCAAGAAACGUCUUGCUGUCUGGUGACAUUCUGCGGGAUCACAGGAUCCGCACAUAUUUUAUAGUGCUGAUGACAGGGCACACCUUAUUGUUUUAUUUCGUUUAGAGUUGGGAACGGGGAUGAAACAACCGUGCAGAACUCAACGCGGCUUUGGUGUAACUUCUGAUACCUUUAUAAAUAUUUAUUAAACCAGGUCAGGGGGCGAUCCUAAUCCCCGUUUUUCCUCUCACUUAUUUCAUUCAGCUCUGCCUUCUCAGAUUGCUUUUCGCACCCUUUCCCUGUCCAACGCGACGACUGAUUUCGGGCCUCUGCGUUAAAGAACGAUCUCACUUUAAACUGGAACCAAGAGGGUGAGCUGGUUUCCAUUGCCUCACAGCUGACCCACCAGCACCAUCCAGUGGACUGUUUCGGGUGAUUCAGGCCGAUUGUUUCACCUUUCUUUUGCUUCAGAUUCCAGCAUCUGCGGUCUCUUGCGUCUCCGGUUUCACCUUAAUGUGGAGAAAUGCAAAAACCAUUAACAAUCUUCAACGAAAUUGGAACUUCAGAGAUCUCUCCGCUGGGAACUUGGGGGAAGGGUUUUCACGGGCUUUUGGUGGAGAGUCGGGAGGAAGACGCCAAGGAAGGUGGACGUGCGCUGCACUGCUCAGAAGACCACCGGGGAUGGUUCUAGGUGCGAAGAUGUGGAGGUCGGAGGCAAGCGACGAGCGGUCGGAUGGUUGAGCUCCAACGAUGUGCACUAAACUGACUGAACUUUGAUAGACCUCACCCAUACAGAUCAUUUUCGUCUGCCUCCUGCUGUUUCCAUCUGAGAAGUCCAAAGCAGUCAUUUUAAUAAGGUACCCAGUAUGAAAAGAAGAAGCAGCUAUACCUCUCCCAGCCCUGGUGUGAAAAGCCAUCCGCUUCUCUUGAAAAUCAGAACCAACAGCCAACCUGCUCGCCCCUGAUCUUCGCUGGAGAAAGAUAACUGAUGGCUGUGGAAAUGCAGCAGCUGGUUCCUUGCAGGUGUCACAAGGCAAGAUUGCUCACACCUAUGGAUUGGCUUUACUAGCAUAAAACUUGCUUGUUUUUGUAAUAUAACCUGUUUUAGCUCUAAAAAAAUAUAUGCCCACUGACUUUUGCAAAUUAUUCCAAUUAAUAAAAAAGUUACUAUACUGUCAUUAGACUGUCCUGUCUGUAACUAACUACAGUGCUUUGAAGUUGGUCAUUCAAUUUAGGGAGAAGCAUAGUGAUCAAAUAACAUCCACAAAAUAAUGAUUUAUGGAGCAUUCAAUAUGAAAUGAUGUUAAGAAUAUAUAUUUUGAAAGUGUACUAAGUAUAAGGAUUUGGCUUUAUUUUUCAAUUAUAAAUAAAUAAUAAAUGUUAAGUUGCAGGUUUUGCUUAUCAUAGAAAAUAAAUGUACUAUAAAUAUUAUUUAUUAGUCCAUUGAACUAGUAAAAGAUAAAUUGUAAGAAGCUAAUUUGCUUCCACUACAUUGCCACAUUGUGUGUGAGUGAGUGUUAGAAUCUACGAGGAGUUGAUGACAUGCUGGAUCUUUGCAAACUUCGAAGAAAGUAAAACUUUCUAAACAUCGAAAACCUUCGUCAAGCUUCUGUAGAUGUGCAGUGGAGAGUAUAAUGAAUGGUUGCAUCACAGCCAAACAUGGAGAUAUCAACGCCUUUGAAUGGAAAAUUCUACUAAAAGUAGCUGUUAUGGCCCUGUCCGUCAUGGGUAAAGCUCUCCCCACCAAUCAGCACAUCAACAUGGAGUGCUGUUGCAAGAAUGCAGCAUCCAUCAUCAGGAGCCCCACCAUCCAGGCCAUGCUCUCUUCUUGCUGUUGCCAUCAGGAGGGUGGUUUAAGAGCCUCAGGACCCACACCACUAGGUUUUAGGAACAAUUAUCAGCCUUAAACCAUCAGUUUCUUGAACCAGAGGGAUAACUUCACCCGACUUCACUCACCCCAUCACUGAACUGUUCCCACAACCCAUGUAGUCACUUUCAAGAACUCUUCACCUCAUGUUCUCAAUAUUUAUUGCCCAUUUAUUAUUAUUAUUAUUAUUAUUAUUUUGUAUUUUCACAGCUCAUUUGCUUUUGCAUAUUGGUUGUAUAUCUGUCUUGUUAUGUACAGCAUUUCAUUGAUUCUAUUGUGUUUCUUUGUAUUUGCUGGGAAUGCCCACAAGAAAAUGAAUCUCAGAGUUGUUUGCCGUGACAUAUAUGUACUUUCAUAAUAAACUUACUUUGAACUUUGAACUUUGGUAGCUAUGUGGGGAAAAUAGGUUACAGAGUAUUGAA